rnacentral:lncRNA from 1 species
GCCACUCUGGACCUUUCUAACAAAGAACAAAGUCAAGGAAAAGUAGAAAGAGAUGGAAAAGAGGGACACAGAGAAAGGCAUUGUCUGGUCCCUGAAAACCUUCCCCUGACCACAGCACCAAGGCAGGGUUAAUCUCCUCGGCCAAACCAGAACCUGGUUUCAUGUGGUGGCCGCUGGAGUUGACAGCAGUCUCUGGGGACACUCCCUUUGUGUCUGCAGAAAGACAGAGGGAAAGGUCACCACAGGGCAGGCUGCGGCCCAAUGGCUCUGGCAGCCAGAUUUCCCAGGUUGAUUCACCUGCUCCUUCAAGUACAAGAAAUGCCCAGAGGCGCUGGCGUUUCCCUAGUCCAGCAGGAUGGUGACGAAAUCAGCACUACAGCAUUGAUGGCAUGCCCCUUGUGACCAGAAUAUGGAUACUUGCUGGUGCCUUUUUCCCUGGAGGCACAGGCAAAUGGAAGGAAGAAAGGCAUCACUCUUGUGCUGUUGUAAAUGCUGACCGAGCAACAACGUCCAGUACGUGGACCUGGGAGAGGUCCUUGGUCCAAAGAGGUAACAGCGACUUCCUUAGGGAGGAAAUAGGGUUCAUAAAGCAGAGUUCAUUUUCCUGGUGGCUGGGAAGUUAUCAGAGUGGGUUAAGCAAAGAUGGUUCUGGAGAUUCACAGCAGAACAGGCAAGUGAGCAGUGGCAUCUUAUUACUUGAUAUUUACUGGAAGUGAGGAGGUCUGUUUUUUUAGUUCUUCCUCCCUUUCAGGUUCUGCCUACCUAAGAACUAUAUCCAAAUUGCCUGAAAGGAUCAUAGUACUAGCUAUUAAAUCUAAAGUUUAAGAUGCCAAGAAAACUGGUCGGGAGAGGCCCACAGGGCCUCCUGUCUGCCAUCCCAACUUGAAUUGAUGUUCUCAGGCUUAAGCAGAAAGAUUGGAAAUUAGAAAAGGAAGAAGUGUGCAGCAGAGCGUGGAAAGGACUAUGGGAGAGCAGGAAAGGUGAGCCCAUGUUACCUGCUGUUCCAUGGAGUGAUCCCGCCUCAGGUGACAGUGGCCUAACGCAUAUGGACUCCAGCUGAUCCCACCAAACAGCCUUGAGGAGGUAGAGAUCAGAUGAGAAUUCUCUCCAGUACUUUUCUGCUAUAGAGAAAUGUGAAGAAGAGGAGACAAAUGUUUCCUUACUUCUCACAGACACCUGUGAAGCAAGGCAAGGCUAUUUGAGUGCUCAGAGCGGAUGUAAAAAGGGCCCAGCUGUAAAAUUAGAUACUAAUUGAAAACAGAGAAGGUUUGACAGAUAAAGGGCUGUGGGUUGUAAAUGCUGCCCCAUGGAAAGUGAAGUCAACCAGCAAGGUGACACUGACCUCUUGAUUUGAAUAAGAUCCAACCAAGAUGGCGGCCAUCCUGCCAGGGAUCCAUCAGGGCCUAGCCCCAGGGAGCAUUCUACCUCAGAUGCUUGAAGGUGGAAUGUGCAUCCAACUUCUAGAGCCAGCUAAGCACCUUUCCUAGCCUGGGAUUUUGCGGGGAUGGAGUUCUCCCUAGCUUGAACAUUCAGGAAAACAAGAAUAGCCAUGAUGACAAAUUAGUUCAAGGACAAAUUAGUUCAAGUUCAGUUAAAAGCUGGGGACUUAACCUGCGUGAGGCCAGACACUUCCAUACCACUGUCAUUUCUAUUCAUCCGUGUUUUUCAGCUUAGUAAAAUCUUGCUCACUCAAAUCCCCUUGCUAAGACCCUGCUCCUUUCUCUGUGUACAUGCCCUCCACCCCUUCCUUAUAAUCCCUUUGGGCUCAAGCCUGAACUGAAGCUAAAAUAUUUAUAGGGAGAAACUAUUAGCAAAGUUCAUUAAUUAAGGUUGUGUUUACUAUCGCCAACAGUAGUCUUUCAUUAACUAAGUUCUCCCUUUUUUACCACUGGUCAUUAAUGCUGAUCACUGAAGGAUCAUGCAACUCUGGUUCCUGGCCAAACUGCUCAUCUCCCACACUGGAAGCUGUGCUUGGCCAGUCUUUCCUUAGCAGCACAACCUCUGGAAAAAAGCUCAGGUUUACUUCAGGUAGUAAAUGGUUACCUGUCACAACAGCACCACGGCCUGACCCUAACAGCCCUUUGGCUUAUGGGGAUUAGUCUAUUCUUUUCCACUAGCAAUUCUCCCUCCUCUGUCUACCUGGUUCCCCAGCCAGCCUACCACCCUCCCAAGCAAACACUGACCACAGGAAGGAAGGAAUUUUAGAGAGACUCAGUCAAUUGAAAAACCAAACAUAGCAAAGACAUGUUCUGUUUCCUGGAGAAUGUCCCAUGUGUGAAAGAUGGAAAGGAGGCUUUGUUCUUCUUUGGAACUCCAAAACCUCACUCUGAAUUUAUCUAUUCAGCAGUGGAAUGAGGUUUGCAAGAGACGGGACUUCCCAACAUCAUGCAGUUGGGGCAGGAGUCCAGGGUGGACUCCCCACUCUCCAGGCUCAUUUUCACUGCACAGUAUAUUCUGACAAAACGGAACCUGGCUGUGUGUGUGCUGCCCUGGCAGAACAUACUAGAAGUAAAACCAAGACCUCACAUAGCUGGGCAAGGAGAAGCCUGAAUAAAGGGAGAAAGCCACACUGGACUUCAAGAUUGGUGCUUAGAUUCCUGAAUGCUUCUCCCUUAGCCUUGAAUGAUACAAAGAUUCAUUUCAUAAAUAAACCACCAUGAUUCAGCGGAGUUAAAAGACUGGCCCAACAUCACCCAGCUAGUUAACUAAGUGAAAUAAAGGUCUCGGGAUCCCAUCCCCAGGCCAGUGUCCUCUACUGCCCUGUGCACCCAUAUUCCAUUUGCUCAUUUAGAGUGCAUUUCAGCUUUUUGCUACCUACAGAAAGGAUAUAUGUGCAUUUUUUUUCAAAAAGGAAGACAUAACUUUCCUAGGAAGUUAUCCUGCUAAUACAUUCUCACAUCUGUAUACAUUCUCAUAUCUGUAAAAAAAAAAAAAUGUGUGUACAAGAGUAUAGCUGCAGCAUUCAUUGUAAUGACUAAUGAUUGGAAAUAACCUAAAUUUCCACCAGUGUGGGAUUGUUGAUAUAAAUUAUAGUAAGCCCAUGCAGUAGAAUACUAUGAAAUUGUUAAAAAGAAUCAAGCAGCUAUAAUUAAAUAUAUGUGGUGAUAUGAAAGAUAAACAGAUAAAAUGUUGUGCAAAGGAUACAACAGUGAGUGUAGUAUGCUGCCAAUUUUGCAAAGUGUGUGUGUGUGUGUGUAUGUGUGUGUGUGUCUAAGACUUUGUAUUUGCCUAUAUAGAAUAGUUCUAGAGGAUGUCUAGGACACUGGAAACAGCAAUUUCCUUCGGGGUGCUAAUGUUCAAACUGCAGUAGUACUCAGUGAGUACUUAUUGGAGGAACAGAGUCUUUCCUAGCCUAUCCUGGCUUUUCACCAAGCACAAAACAGUAGUCCAUGUGUCAAAUUAUUCUUAUCCACCAACAUCAACACCAGGGCCCGGGCCAAGAUUCCCAGGCUUUAUGGAGGGAAUGUCCAUCUGCAGCAACAUCUUUGCAGCUUGACACAUUCAAAUGGUUCAUAGCAAGGCAAGAAAAGUCCCAGCCUCUGGGGCUGGAGCAUUUAGUUCAUAAUGCCAGGGGAAGACCCUUGCCAACCAUAUUUGCAUCCCACAGGAACACUUAAAAUGUCUCCUAGAGGGCUGGGGUUGUGGCUCAGUGGUAGAGCACUCACCUAGCACUUGCAAGGCCGUGGGUUCAAUCCUCAGCACCACAUAAAAAUAAAUAAAUAAAAUAAAGGUAUUGUGUCCAACUACAACUAAAAAAUAAAUGUUUUUUUUAAAAAAAUGUCUCCUAGACACCAUCUAGUGGGAAAUGACAUCUGCUUCAGUAAAAUAUGCGAACAAAAAUGGCCCUAAGACUCCAGUAAAAAGGAGACCCAUUUCCUCGAAAUCACGGGAAAGAGGCAAAAUCUGAAACACCAUUUUAUUUGUGUGUGUGUGUGCUGAAGAUCAAACUCAGGGCCUUGUGCCUGCUAGGUGAGACACAUUUAAAAUUUUUUUUUUCUUUUAGUUGUCAAUGGACCUUUAUUUAUUUAUAUGCUAGGCAAGCACUUUACCACUGAGCAACAAACUCAGCCCCAAGACACAUUUUUUCAAGUUACGGAUUUUAAUCAACGAAAUACAGGCCCUGUGGUGGUAAGAUUUUUGCCUUCCCAGGCCAUCCCUGGACAAACUAGCCUCCAAGUUCAUCCAGGCUACAAUUUCUACAGGUUCCUCAUCUCUUUUUCCCAAAAUGACAAGCAAAAACUAACCAAAUAAAAUACUAGCUGAUGGAUGCAUAGUAAUAACCCAGUGAGUAUAUGGUAUAAGGGCUGAAUAUUUUAUUAGUAGCCAACUAACAAAGACUUUACACCAAACCUAAUAGUAACCAGUACUUAUCUCGUUCUCAGUUCAAAGUAUUUUAUCAAAAAUUCAUUGAAUCUCUCCAACAAUGAAAAGAAGUCAGUAAUUACAGUAUUACAAGUGAUUGUCCUCUCUUAACAGAUAAGGAAACCAAUGUUAAUUAGCUUUCUCCAGGUCCACAUUUAGCAAGUGUGGGAGCCAGAAUUUGCACCUAGCAUAUCUGACAGUCGGUUCUGUGCUUUUGAGCACAAUGUUAGAGAAGACAGGGAAGAUUUAAAGGCCUGAGACAAGUCAAUAAAGAUGUGGUUUGUAUUCUUGGCAGCAAAGCGGUCAGUGCAGACAUGGAUCCCCUCCUGCUCCAAACACACAGAAAUGCUAGAUAAAAUAUAACCAAAAAAUGUUUUAAAUUUAUAGCCACGCUGAAAAAGAAAGGAACCUCCUCAAAUGACAGAGAUAUAGGAGAUUACAAAAUGGAACCAACAAGUGCUGGAGCACCCAGGGGGAUACUGACCCUGGAUGUGGCUCUUGUGACUGGCAGAAACAUGGCAGAGGAUCUAGGACUGAGGCUUUCUGGAAUCAGGGAGCAAGCAAUGGAAAGACUGGAAGAUUUUUCCCAGUGAUUCAGGGAAGCAGCAAAGAAGAUGCCAUCUGCCUGGGAUCCCAGGGGGAAAAAAAGCCUCCCAAAUGACAUUGACAUCUGAAAUCCAUUUCCCCUUAGAGAUGACACCAGAAUGCAAAUCACUCCCAUGGAGGAGGUCAAGUUCCAAUCCAAGAUAUCUACACAAAACUAGUCACAUACCAACGAGGCCCUGGUGCCCCCAGCAGAAGCAAAUGCAAAACUUCUGUCUCUGCACACCUCCCAGGGCAAGGGGACUCCCACAGGGAAACAAGCUCCCCAGGGGAGAGGGCAAGUGACACAAUGAUGAACCAAACCGUGAGGACAAGCCCAGCCCCAGAAGGACAGCAGCAGCACCCCUGAUUAGCUUCCUGGCUUUUCUUUUCCUGAGCACCUUCAUAUCUUCUUGCUUUUCCUUUGAAGUUAAGCUCAGCUGUUGAGAUCUGGAUUUUCACCGUCCCAUCCUCACUGGCCAGCACCAUGGCUCCUGGAUGUGAAGCACCCAACAGAUAUAUAUUGGAUGUUGGUAAAAAUCAAUCUUAAUGCAUAUGAUUUGUGGCUAUGUCAUAGAUAACACAUGCAGGUAUGUCAGGACAGAGGCUCCCUCUGGGUGGGAAGAGGUGGCAAAGGAUGGGGUUAGGUGGGAAUGGUGCCAUCCACCUAUAAAGGUUCAUGUCUUUAAAUGUGUCUGGAAGCCUUAUGCAAAACAUUAAUGGUUGUUAUAUCCAGGUGGCAGGUGCCUGGGAGUCUGUAUUCUCUGUGCUUUUCUGUGUGUUUGGAGUAUUUCAUAAUUUUAAAUAAAAAUAAAU